UUCCUGAUUUUCCCAUCGUUCGGGGCAUUCUGGGGCUGUUUUGGCUAUUGGUUGCUUGUUUGGUCUUGAGCCGAACGGGUGGCUUCUAGUCUGGUGGCUUCGGGGAUGUUGACCGUAAAGGUGGAUGAGUGGUGUUUGGUUUGUUACGUGUGGUUGGCUGCGGCGUUUGCAACAACUUCCAUGCUUUCAGACCUCUUCAGUUGUGCGGCAAGGCUUGUAUCGCCUUGAGCGUAUUGUGGGUUUUCUGUGUUGGCUACCUAAUCAAUGGUAUCGGUUGGAUUGAUCAAUGUUUCAUUUCGUCUACCGUCGCAUUCGCGGCGUGAGAUGAACCUUGAUGCGGUCUCUUUGAUCCACCUCGUCGAAGCGCAUGCUUUGGCGUUGUGGCACAUUGAGCAUUGCUUGGUCUCUUGUAUACGGAACAUAUAGUGGGCAUGGAUCUAACGAUUCUCGUUUGCCCUCAUAUUAGCGUAACGCUUCUCUUACACGACUUGCUCCACGUUUUAG
rnacentral:misc_RNA from 2 species